CGCGAACGGCUCAUUACACAGCUGUAGUUUACUUGAUUUUGAUAAUCCUACUUGGAUAACUGAGGUAAUUCUUGAGCUAAUACAUGCACAAAAGCUCCGACGCAAGGAGGAGCGCAUUUAUUAGAACAAAACCAAGCCCCYUCGGGGGUUUUUUGUUGACUCAGAAUAACUUUAGCUGACCGCACGCUCUCGUAGCGGCGGCGUGUCUUUCAAGCAUCUGCCUUAUCAACUUUCGACGGUAGGGUCUCUGCCUACCGUGGUGGUGACGGGUAACGGAGAAUAAGGGUUCGACUCCGGAGAAGGGGCCUGAGAAAUGGCCACUACGUCUAAGGAUGGCAGCAGGCGCGCAAAUUACCCACUCUCAGAAUGAGGAGGUAGUGACGAGCAAUAACGAGGUCGUUCUCUUUGAGGCCGACCAUCGGAAUGGGUACAAUCUAAACCCUUUAACGAGUAUCUAUGAGAGGGCAAGUCUGGUGCCAGCAGCCGCGGUAAUUCCAGCUCUCAAAGUGUAUAGAAUUAUUGCUGCGGUUAAAAAGCUCGUAGUUGGAUCUCUGCCAAAGACUCGGUCCAUCUUCGGAUGUGYACUGGGUUCUGCGGCUUUCUGCUGGUUUUCCCGCCGUCGCCUUUACUGGUAGCGGUGGGUGGCUGGCGAUUUUACUUUGAACAAAUCAGAGUGCUUAACACAGGCGUUUCGCUUGAAUGUUCUUGCAUGGAAUAAUAGAAGAGGAUUUCGGUUCUAUUUUAUUGGUUUUAUAGACCGAGAUAAUGGUUAAUAGAGACAAACGGGGGCAUUCGUAUCGCUGCGUGAGAGGUGAAAU
rnacentral:rRNA from 1 species